rnacentral:rRNA from 1 species
UACGGGGGGGGCAAGCGUUGUUCGGAAUUACUGGGCGUAAAGGGUUCGUAGGUGGCCCGCUAAGUCAGACGUGAAAUCCCUCAGCUCAACUGGGGAACUGCGUCUGAGACUGGUGGGCUUGAGUGCAGGAGAGGAACGCGGAAUUCCAGGUGUAGCGGUGAAAUGCGUAGAUAUCAUCAGGAAUACCGGAGGCGAAGGCGGCUCACUGGGGGUUUUCUGACGCUGAGGGACGAAAGCCAGGGUAGCGAACGGG